AGGAGGCUGGGCUGCUUGAGAGAGAAGAAAAGAAUGAGUUUUCAAAAUUAGAGGGUUUGGUCUUUUUUUAGGUAAAAAAUAGGAAGGUUAGGUAGAUUUAAUUUGAGCCAUUGGAUUAGUUAAGAUGAGCGGCUAGGAUUUGAUCUAGGAUUCACUUAAAGGAUGGACGGUUAAGAUUUAAACUAAUGUUUCAAGAUUUGGACAAAAAGGGUUAUAAUUGCAAUGAAUGAAUGGCUAAAAUUGCAACUAAAAUUGAUAUAAGAGGCUAUAAUUGAAAAACGAAAUUGGAUUGAGGUGGCUAGAAUUGCAAUGAAUUGAAUAAGGGAAAAGCUAAAAUUGAAAGGAAUUAGAUUAGAAUGGGCUAAAAAUUAAAUGAUUUCGAGAAAAAUUAAAGAAAUGCUAUCCAAUUAAAAUACUACAAAUAUUAUAACAUUUUAUAUAAU
rnacentral:lncRNA from 1 species